UUCAUAUAACGUUUUGUAAAGAAAGUUUUUGAGAUGACACUUAAAGUUUUGAAGUGUUGGAUAAAGCUUAGGUUCAUCAGGGAGGGAAUUCCAUUUGACCGGUGCCGUAUGUUCUGGUAAGACCUGUAUCCAAAUGAUU